UACGUAGGGGGCUAGCGUUGUCCGGAAUCAUUGGGCGUAAAGAGCGUGUAGGCGGCCAGAUAGGUCCGUUGUGAAAACUGGAGGCUUAACCUCCAGCGGUCGAUGGAAACCAUCUGGCUAGAGUCCGGAAGAGGAGAGUGGAAUUCCUGGUGUAGCGGUGAAAUGCGCAGAUAUCAGGAAGAACACCCGUGGCGAAGGCGGCUCUCUGGGACGGUACUGACGCUGAGACGCGAAAGCGUGGGGAGCGAACAGG
rnacentral:rRNA from 1 species